AGGACAUGAUGUGGGUAUCCUUUGAACAGUUUUUUAUACCUCUCCCAUACUUUAUAGAAUGAUUCACUUUCCUUUUGAGAAAAAGAGGUGAGGUCCUUUCUUAAUUG